GGUGAAAUGCGUAGAUAUAUGGAAGGAACACCAGUGGCGAAGGCGGCUACCUGGACCAACACUGACAUCUGAGGUGCGAAAGCGUGGGGAGCAAACAGGAUUAGAUAUCCCUGGUAGUCCACGCCGUAAACGAUGUCUACUAGCCGUUGGGACUCUUGAAGUCUUAGUGGCGCAGCUAACGCACUAAGUAGACCGCCUGGGGAGUACGGCCGCAAGGUUAAAACUCAAAUGAAUUGACGGGGGCCCGCACAAGCGGUGGAGCAUGUGGUUUAAUUCGACGCAACGCGAAGAACCUUACCUGGCCUUGACAUGCAGAGAACUUUCCAGAGAUGGAUUGGUGCCUUCGGGAACUCUGACACAGGUGCUGCAUGGCCGUCGUCAGCUCGUGUCGUGAGAUGUUGGGUUAAGUCCCGUAACGAGCGCAACCCCUAUCCCUAGUUGCUAGCAGUUCGGCUGAGAACUCUAGGGAGACUGCCGGUGACAAACCGGAGGAAGGUGGGGAUGACGUCAGGUCAUCAUGGCCCUUACGGCCAGGGCUACACACGUGCUACAAUGGUGCGCACAGAGGGCUGCAAACCCGCGAGGGGGAGCCAAUCUCACAAAACGCAUCGUAGUCCGGAUCGCAGUCUGCAACUCGACUGCGUGAAGUCGGAAUCGCUAGUAAUCGUGAAUCAGAAUGUCACGGUGAAUACGUUCCCAGGCCUUGUACACACCGCCCG
rnacentral:rRNA from 1 species